rnacentral:rRNA from 1 species
GAUGAACGCUGGCGGCGUGCCUAAUACAUGCAAGUCGAACGCAUUGUGGUUGAAAUGAUAUGAAGAACUUGUUCAGAUUUGAUUUUCAACAUUGCAAUGAGUGGCGAACGGGUGAGUAACACGUGGGAAACCUACCUCUUAGCAGGGGAUAACAUUUGGAAACAAAUGCUAAUACCGUAUAAUAAUUAAAACCGCAUGGUUUUAGUUUAAAAGAUGGUCUUGCUAUCACUAAGAGAUGGUCCCGCGGUGUAUUAGUUAGUUGGUGAGGUAAUGGCUCACCAAGACAAUGAUACAUAGCCGAGUUGAGAGACUGACCGGCCACAAUGGGACUGAGACACGGCCCAUACUCCUACGGGAGGCAGCAGUAGGGAAUCUUCCACAAUGGACGAAAGUCUGAUGGAGCAACGCCGCGUGUGUGAUGAAGGUUUCGGCUCGUAAAACACUGUUGUAAGAGAAGAAUGACAUUGAGAGUAACUGUUCAAUGUGUGACGGUAU